rnacentral:lncRNA from 1 species
UUCUCCCUUUCUCCUUUCUCUUCCUUCUUCCUCCCUAGAGGCGACACUCUCUUUUACCUUAUUGCCCUUUUUUCCAUCCUCUCCCUCCUCCUCCACCACCUCUCCCCCGUCUCCGCCGCCGAGAACCGCCACUUCGAGGGUUUCGAUGCCGAUGAAGUCGAUGACUUCGCCGACCCCGUCGACCCAAUCAUCUCAUCCAGUCCACCACCUCCCCUUACUACCACUCUCUCCGUCUCCGACCCUAUUGAAUCCCACCACGGCCCUCCUGAUCCAGCCCCUCCAGUUACAUCUCAGCCGUCCGAUCCGAAACCAGCUUCAACAUCCUUUGACUACUGGGAUGAGGAUGAAUUCGAAGGU